rnacentral:rRNA from 1 species
AAUCCCAACUCAGGGAGGUAGUGACAAGAAAUAGCAAUGCGGGGCUUCUUGCUCUGCAAUUGGAAUGAGAACAAUUUAAAUCACUUAACGAAUAUCAAUUGGAGGGCAAGUCUGGUGCCAGCAGCCGCGGUAAUUCCAGCUCCAAUAGCGUAUAUGUAAGUUGUUGCGAUUAAAAAGCCCGUAGCUGAACCUCGGGCAACCCUGACGGUCCGCGUUUCGUGAGUACUGUCGUGGGUUGUCUUUCUGGCAAGACCGUAUCUCGGUGUUAACUCGCCGGGAACGGCGCUUGCCAAGGUUACUUUGAGUAAAAUAGAGUGUUCAAAGCAAGCUCGCGCUCUGAAUACACUAGCAUGCGAUAACACGACAUGACCGAUGGUCUAUCUUGUUGGCCUGUAGACCUGUUGGUAAUGGCUAAUAGGGACGGUCGGGGGCAUUCGUAUUUCGCUGUCAGAGGUGAAAUUCUUGGAUUUGCGAAAGACGAACUACUGCGAAAGCAUUUGCCAAGGACGCUUUCAUUAGUCAAGGACGAAAGUCGGGGGAUCGAAGACGAUUAGAUACCGUCGUAGUCUCGACCAUAAACGAUGCCAAUUAGGGAUUGGAGGGUGGAUCCAAUAUGCCUCCUCCAGCACCUUCCGCGAAAGCAAAAUUUAUGGGCUUCGGGGGGAGUAUGGUCGCAAGGCUGAAACUUAAAGGAAUUGACGGAACGGCACCACCAGGCGUGGAGCCUGCGGCUUAAUUUGACCCAACACGGGAAAACUUACCAGGUCCAGACAAGAUUAGGAUUUACAGAUUGAUAGCUCUUUAAAGAUUUUUUGGAUGGUGGUGCAUGGCCGUUCUUAGUUCGUGGAUUGAUUUGUCAGGUUGAUUCCGGUAACGGACGAGACCCCAACCUACUAACUAGCCCUGGUUGCUUCGCAGCCAGCAGUGCUUCUUAGAGGGACUCUCGGAAUGAAACCGAAGGAGGUGGGGCAAUAACAGGUCUGUGAUGCCCUUAGAUGUCCUGGGCCGCACGCGCGCUACACUGAUGCAUUCAACGAGCCUACCCUGUGCCGAGAGGUAUGGGUAAUCUGAGAAACUGCAUCGUGAUGGGGUUAGAUUAUUGCAAUUAUUGAUCUUCAACGAGGAAUGCCUAGUAAGCGCGAGUCAUCAACUCGCGUUGAUUACGUCCCUGCCGUUUGUACACACCGCCCGUCGCUCCUACCGAUUGGGUGUGCUGGUGAAAUGUUUCGGAUUGGUAGCCUUUCCGUAAGGGAGGCUCCUGAGAAGUUCAUUGAACCCUUUCAUCUAGA